rnacentral:rRNA from 1 species
UACGGGGGGGGCAAGCGUUGUUCGGAAUUACUGGGCGUAAAGGGUUCGUAGGCGGCCAACUAAGUCAGACGUGAAAUCCCCAGGCUCAACCUGGGAACUGCGUCUGAUACUGGAUGGCUUGAAUCCGGGAGAGGGAUGCAGAAUUCCCGGUGUAGUGGUGAAAUGCGUAGAUAUCUGGAGGAACACCGGUGGCGAAGGCGGCAUCCUGGACCGACACUGACACUGAGGAGCGAAAGCCAGGGGAGCAAACGGG